UACGUAGGGUGCAAGCGUUAAUCGGGAUUACUGGGCGUAAAGCGUGCGCAGGCGGUUAUGUAAGACAGGUGUGAAAUCCCCGGGCUUAACCUGGGAACUGCAUUUGUGACUGCAUAGCUAGAGUACGGUAGAGGGGGAUGGAAUUCCGCGUGUAGCAGUGAAUGCGUAGAUAUGCGGAGGAACACCGAUGGCGAAGGCAAUCCCCUGGACCUGUACUGACGCUCAUGCACGAAAGCGUGGGGAGCAAACAGG
rnacentral:rRNA from 1 species